rnacentral:rRNA from 1 species
CUGCGGAGGGUGCAAGCGUUAUUCGGAAUCACUGGGCGUAAAGGACGCGUAGGCGGGUUGGCAAGUCAGAUGUGAAAUCCUACAGCUUAACUGUAGAACUGCAUUUGAAACUGCUAACCUAGAGUAUGGGAGGGGGAGAUGGAAUUAGUGGUGUAGGGGUAAAAUCCGUAGAUAUCACUAGGAAUACCGAAAGCGAAGGCGAUCUCCUGGAACAUAACUGACGCUAAGGCGUGAAAGCGUGGGGAGCAAACAGGAUUAGAAACCCUAGUAGUCC